GCACCAGGAAAUAUCUACAUCAUUGCUGUGGUAUUUAGAAAGAAAAAAUGAAGACAAUGCUUCGAUACAUAUUGUUCUUGACUCUUACAAUUUUAUGUUUUGUGGUAGCCACUGACGCUUUAUAUUAUAAUCCAUUAGAUAAUCAAGUUCAUCGUAGGACUCUGCCAACCCCAAAAGAUAUUGGAUCCAUUCAUAUUAUUCAUAUCCCUACUGACUGACCAACUCACUAAUAAAAAGGGAGAUGCUGACGCCCAUCCCUGUUAAUACUGCAGCAACAAGUUUCCACUUUCCAUUUAUUAAGUGAUGAUUUCAUAAUAUAAUAUAUUUUUAGACAUAAUAAAAUUCUAAAUUUGUUUGUGUA